rnacentral:lncRNA from 1 species
UGCUAAGGUUUCGGUGAAGUUUUAAAAAUGCCAGUAAUAAACUCGUUGCAAAAUUGAUGAAAACACAGCUUUUAAAGAAUAAUUUAUCAAUUUAAACUAAUUUAGUGUCUCUCUUUAGAUUCCCUUUAAGAGAAAAUACUUUCUAAGCCCUGCAUUCUUGGAGCGGUCUGUAUCGCUUGUUUUGAAAUGUGUCUGGCACCGUGCAACCUUUUUUUUGGCACCACUUGGGUCACACUUGGCAAGCUACUUUAUAAGUGGCUAGACCUCAAGCCCCUGCUGUGGUUACUGUCAUGACAACAUUAAAGUUUUGAGGGAGAGAAGAUAAUGUUUAGAGAAUAAUAGUGCACAGCUAUUGGUAAAAAUUAAACCCAGAAACACAACAUAAAAUAAAGGAGCUUGCAUGUCAUCUGCUUUUGUUAGCAUAGAAUGAAGAGGUCCUUUUAACAUUGAACCAGUAAACAAAGUGCACGGAUUACCUGAAUUAUGUAUAAUUAUCAGGGCUGCUUUCAUUGAAAUUGCAGUGAUGCAUGCACUUAGUUAUAGCUUUAUUGUGCCAUUCUUGACUAUAUGAAAUAUAUUUCGCAGCACAGUCUAUCUGAAGCACUGGUAGAGAAGUCAAAAGCUUCCCCCCUAUGUUGCAUGCAGGCUUACUGGCAUAGUCAUGCUUUUACGAGUUUCUUUUGUGGACUGCAGAACACAGAACAACGGUCCUGUUGACAUAGAGUAGCUAGUCUUUUCUUGGAACUGAGUGCAAGCUCCACACCUAACUCCUUCACUGUCACAUAAUUGCACGCUCGUACGAGACUCUUGCAGCUGUUCCUAGUGCGUGCCUUGUAUUGCGUGACGUCAAUAGUGAAAUGCGCAGGUGGUUCCCCACAGGUGUUUUUGAAGCAUGUCAUGUGCUCCUUGUUUUUGUGCAAGACAUUUUGCAGCAGCCAUAUGCACAUCUCCAAUGGAUUUUUAAAAAAAGAAGAGGAAGAAAAGAAACUGCUAGUACAAAACAGCUUUGCAGUGUGCACAGAUGAGACAGAACAUAGGAACACGAAUAGAAUGAACGCAUUUCUUUUCUACUUUUUUCAUCCUUUUGCCAUAAUCUGUGGUUUACACUUAGAAGAAAUGUGUAAUUAGAAUUCGAGCCCUAAUUACAGCUGAAAUUAAAUACGAAGGCCUGAGGACUAAACUUUUUUUUAGUUUCUCUUUUUCGCUUAGAGAAAGCUUUUGUCUUGCCCCUUCUUAAUCAAAUACAUGCAGUGUGCAUAAUAUAUGCUUUCACUAAGCAACUGCUGAACCAGUUAAAAUAACAUUUGUGAAAUAAUAAAGACAAAAGUCAAAUUAUAGCAACUUUCACGAGUACAAGUUUGAACGAAAGUCGAGGUUAACACCUCUGUAACUUGAAACAAAAGCUGGCAUCAAAAUUCUACAAACCACAAUUGAUAAAGUAUUUAAAGAGGACAAAAUCAACAAGCUAAUUUGCAGUUCAUGUUAAAUGCUGACUUAUUUGUGCAGAAGUCUUGCAUGCCCACCUUAAAGGCCAACUGCAACAAAAUUUUGGGCUGCAUAAAAAGCCUAUUUUCAUAUAGCGUAGAUAGAGAGCAGCUUCUGGGCAAAAUUUUAAGUUUGAAAUGCGAGUGGGUGCCUCGAGAAAGGCUCACAGAUAUUGAAGCUGUUGAUACCGAAACUGAAAAAUAAAGAAUAAUGCCACCAUUACCGCUUGGCUGAAAAUGACUCGUGACUCGGACUGUGGGGCUCCUCACCGCGACCUCCUAGAUGGGGCAUUGCCUGCCGCUGCUCAUGGUGCACUGAAAAAUCUUGGAGGCGACGUGCUGGCAGUUACGUUGUAUCUUCUAGCCACCGGGUGGCAUGCGUCGUCUGCUUAGGAGCCAUGUAAAGGCUGCUAAUAAGAAAAUUUGGCAAUUACCAGCCUUGCAGCUAUGCUGAAAUUGCUUCAGUAGUGCAUACUACUAAUUUAGUUCCACCAAUUCAUAGCCAACGUGAAAUUUCAUUGUAGUUGUCCUUUAAAUCGUAUAACUAGCGCAUUCUAUAUAUGAUUUUGAUGCUUUAUUGCAGCAUUAUCAUUUUUAGCCUGAUGUUUCUAUUUGUCUUAUUUUUGUCAUCGUUUAACAAUUUUUCUUUAAAGAAAUACAACUUAAAUCAAAAUCUUUUCCAAACAGCCACUAGGGUUUGACUUUUUUUCCUCUAGAUAUGUAACAAAUUUCGUGCUAAUUGGUUCUAUGGUUGCUUAAUGACUGCAUUUCUGCAUAUAUUUGAAAAGGAAGGAUGUUUUAAUGUUUGACACUUAACCUAAUGCACCCUAUCUACAAUUCUUGCCCACAAGAAUGGCCUGAACCUAGAGCUAAUUUCGCACUAGUACUCACCCUUAAUGGUGUGUAUUGCAUUUUGUCUAUUUCAUAACCGUUAAAUUUGCCUAGCUUGGCAUUCAGUAGUAUAUAAAACACAUUUACCUCAUGUUCUGGAAUUUGUCAGUGUGCUGUAUCAAUGUUGUAGCAGUUGAUACUUGGUGGCACACAUUCAGCAUUACUGCUGACAAACCCUGAUAAGCAAUGUUUGAUUUCGGCCAUAGACGUCAGGAACAUGCAUUAGUUUGCUAUUGCCAAUUCUCAGUCAUAAGCUCUGCUGCAUGAUUUGGCAAUGCAGUUCACUACCGUAAGGAAAAUUUGCACGUCCUAGCCUUCUUGGAUUUUUUGCUCUUGCCUCAUAUGUGGGGAAGGCCCUUCCAAGUUCCUUGUUUUGUUUCACCCUUGUUAAUGUCCUCUUUUCUCGUACGUGAAUGACUGGCUUCCUGGAUUACAGAGUCCGCUGUCAAUGUUAUCUCUCGGUGGUCACACGUUGCUGCAGUUCUCGAGUUGGAUAAUAUUCAUUACACCCAGUGCGAUAGUGGCAGGCUGUUAAUUAUUGCCAGUUAAUGGGGCAGAAAUGUUGUGAGUGUCCCUCAACAGUGUGUGAUAACACCAGAAUGCCAUAAAUUUUUGGUUGGGGUUUUUUCAUAACUACAAUGCUAUUUCAGCACUAUUUGUACACUCUUGAGCUGUUCGCAAGAGUAACAGUGAAGGUGCGGCUAUACAUUCAAAUGUGUAUCGCUCUACUUUGAAUGUCACUUGUAACUAUAGAAAGUUGCUGGAUAAGAAAGAUCAGGCUGUUUUUAAAGCAUUUUGUGUUAUGAAUGAGAGUGGAAAGACAUUACACAGAUAUGGCUAAGGCUUGAUGUGAUGAUCAAGUCUUCAGUGCCUUGUCCUAAGUGGGCAUGCUUACGCAACAUGCGAGUGCCCCGAUAACCGGCAGAUUCAGUCUCUUUUUGAAGUUUCUCAGACAAAUUUGAUGAAUGUUGCAUUUUUUAAAAACAUAAUGCAGGCAUGUCCUCUCGUGCACGCGCAUGUUACUUUCAACCUUGCUUGUAGGCAGUCUUGGUGCCUUGCUUUUUGCAUGUCCUCUCUAGUCAUUUGCAGAAGAGUUGUGUAUGAUUCAUUCCAGGUAAAUUAUUUCGGAAAUUCCUUCAGUAUAAGUGUGUGGUAUACCACAGAAAUGUUAUCUCGGACUGCAACAGAAGCUGCAACGCACAGAAAUGAAUGCCCAUAAUGUAGUUACGUGAGCCAUCAGCAACCACGAAUAUUACUGUGAACAUUAAAACAAAAAUUAAACAUUUGCAAGUGAAUCCCAAUUUUGCAGGACUUGCCAUUUAUGCGACUAAUGGCUGGUUCCCAGAAGCGUUCAGGAGUGGGCAAGAAAGGAACUCUUGCAGUCAGCUAGUUGUUUGUUGACAAAAGAGCACCCAGGGCCGGUAUAAUGUAGCAAUUUCUUCUGCUCGAUUUUGCGCCAUUCUUAUCACCCAUCAUGCGCAGCCCACUGAUGACGUUAAUGACAGGAGGGGGGGAGCUUGAGAAGGAACAGCAUUGGAAUACAAUCGUUACAUUAUCCCGGCCUUGAAUUGUCUCGUGCCUGCUUCUUGAACACGCACAACUGGACUGUCAGUGUCCAGUGAUGCAGGGGCGGGCAGUUUUUUUCAUGUUUUUGCUGUGUGCAUGGAGAUGCUAUCACAAGUACCAAUCUCAGGAAUCUCUUGUACCUUGCACUCUCCCUCAUUUUUGUAUUGAGAGUCUGUAUUUUCUCUGCACCAGACAACUACAACCCGACUGGAUGUAUAUGAGGCUUUAUUGUUCAGAGCCGGCGCCACUCUCUUUCCUUGAGGGAUAAUGUAUUUUUUAAAACUGAACAGAUGCACCCUGCAGAAGCAAACAAGGCGGCCUUGUUCACAACAGUGCCGUAAGACAGUGCAAGGCUGCUUACAAAAUUUAAAACAGCAGGCCCCCUCUCCUCAAAAGAGAACAGGCUUGAUGUAAUGCAUAAUUUGUAGAUACAAGCUUGACUUGGGUAACCAGAAUGCAAGAAAUUGACAUUUGUGGCUUUCAUGGCUCUGAAACCUUGCACAAACAGUUGUACGCACUGAUCUUAGGCUAAUUUCAAAACGCCAUAACACUAACAAGUGCAUAACCUCUAGUUGGACUUACCUAGAGCAUAAAGUGGUUCUGAGAAACUUGCUGGAGGCACAAGGCUGUGUUUCUUAUUUUUCUAUAAGCCGUAUAGUGCCAAUUCCGGAGUUCUUGUUGCUUCACUGCAGUAAGGGUAGGCAGGGGUGCGCAGCUUGAACAAGCAGGCACUUGGUUUUGCCUCUGCAGGCUCCAAACCAUUUCGUGUUGAAUAUGUUAGUCACAGAGUCCUUUUGUGUAUUAAGGCUGUACUCUCACGUGUGCACAUUACUAACUGCUUCCAUCUCGCAGGGGCAACUUUUGCUUUUUGCUGUAUUUGGAAGAACUUGCCUGACAAGCUGCCUUUAAAUUUUCACCAAAGAUAUUUUGCAGUUUUCUUUUAAUGUGAACAACAAGUGUCCACUGAAAAAGUGUGCACAUUUCCCAACUGUUUUUAUUCUUUUACAAAAUACUCAACUUGUUUUAGUGUCACAUUUUACAUAAUGUUUGUUGGCAUUCUUAUGUGUAAGCACUGUUCACCAAUAUCUGCAUAUUCAAAUUGUGUACAGUGCUGUGCAUCAUGAUAAAGUAGUGUGGCUUUCCUUUGAAUAACUUUGUGGAUCUAGUACUGGCAUAGCUUCCUGCUCAUAAUUACUGGUUCCUGCUGUUUCUGAUGCUCUUUGGAGGCCACAGCAUUUUUCGCCACAUUGUUUCCACCAACUCUUCCACGUCUGUCAAAACGCUCGAAAUUUAGAAAAUGUUUAAAGGAAUUAAUGCUAAAGGCAGACAUUGGAUGAAUUUAGGAUGUUAGGUCAACCUUAUAGGAGCCUUGCAACGCUUGUUUGAAGCCGAGAGGUGACUUGGCUUUGAACAAACUGCAGAGAAAAUCUCAAGCCAAGGAUCCACACAAUUCUGCAGUUGAGGUCACUUGCUAUGAAGGGGUCUUUUGUGGAAGUAUCCUAAGCUAUGCCAAUGAUCUUGGAGGACAUGCUCUGUGUGGCACUGCAGCCUACUUGCGAGUCACAGGCAGAGGGUGCCAUAAGCUGAAAUGAAGCAUCUUAAGCCCAUAGUAGCAUAGGUGAUUUGCAAGCAGGGGCAAGUGCAGUCAUAUUGGCCAAGCUGCAUUUUCUCUCUUGUUAAAGUGAAACAUUGUUAAUUCACAAUGCAAUACAGUUGCUUAUUAUCGGCAACUGGCUGAAAUUUACCAUUUAUAAGCAGCACGCAUUGCAGCGUGGGUGUCACAUAUUUUUUGCAAUGGCAUCGCCAGGCCUGGUCAACAUCACUGUUGUGUUUUCACUUGCAGAAGCUCUUUUGUCAGCAACAGUGACACUUUGGGUACCUUGGAAUGCCCUAUUGUAUAGCAUUAACUCGAUUUAAUGCUUGCCCUUUGUGUUUCUUUAAGCACCAACUACGUAGAACAUACUUAUGACGUGGUGUUGACAUGCCAGUUCCAGAGUGAAUCAGGUGCAGCCCGUUCUGCUUAGAAUUAAAAAGCUCACAUUGUACAGUGUGAAAUGGUCAUUUCAACUUCAGGCAGUGCUACAUCGAAAAUACGUUGGAACGGUUUUUCACACGGUUAUCACUUGAGAGCUCACAAAGGAGAGUGUUUACUGCAAGCUCACUCAUUAUGCAUUACAAAAGCUGGCACCAACUGCACAUGUAUUCUUCCUGCUGCACAUUUGUGGUUUUGCUUCUAAUAAUGCCACUUCGAAAAGUGUAUCACCUUUUGGAAGAAGAAAAAAAAAGUGAAGGCACACAUUUAUGCUCGUACAAUCUGUGUUAUGCGUCUUUCAAGCCGGCAAGUGGUGCACGUGAAACACUCAUCAAAUGCAUGCUCUAUUUUACAAAAAAAUAUUUGUGGUCUCUUUCACCUGUUCUAUGCAGUGCAUGAAUAUGUGGAAUCGUUUUCAUUGCUGUUUUGUGCACAAUGUGUUAAAGUGCACUAUGAAAAGGGCAAGUUGCUAAAGUCCACUAUACGUUUUGUGGUUUGCUUUUUAAAUUUAUCUUUCUAUGCUUCGGUCAUACCAAUCUUGCCAUUUUAUAACUGACACAGUUGGGAGACUGUUGUUAUUCCAGUUUGCCGUUGUUUUUUUUUUUUUGGCCGCGAAGGCAUAGCCAAUUCUAGAAUGUUUCAAAUGUGCCACUUUUGUUUAAAACAUUGCUGGUAUGUGUAUCUGCUGCUCAGUCGCAGCAGCAAGGGCAUCCCUUGUUAUUAGCCCAUUUUGCUUUUUGCUUUGACAAGGCGUAAUGUGGUUGAUGGAAUACCUUAAAGGAAACCUGUUGCAUGUCACUUGCUUGAAUAUGUUGGCUUGCAGGACCAGGCAUGUAGCACUUCUUGUUUUUUGUUUGUUUUCUUUACUGGUGUUUGUGGCAGGCUGGAGAAGCUCCCAAGACUAGCUGGCAAAAGUGGAUUUAUUCGUAGCUGGCGUAAAUAAAGAAAGCAGCAAACUAAGAAUUACUACCCCAUCUAACAGUAUGCAAUGUGGCACCAUUAUGCAGAUGCCUUCAAAAUAUUAUGCUGCUAGAUGUGCAUCCUGGAAUAAAUCAGCGUUGCUUUGACUAUGGAUGAAAAAUAGUGAUUGCAUUACACAGCAUUUCAGCUUGUCUGAAAGUUCUUGUAUUCUACCAAGUUGUGGGGCUGAUGUCAUGUAAUGAAUGGCGGCACAGUAGAAAGCCAUAGGAAAGAGAAUGUGCAUGGAACUGUAGUUUUCUCACGGAGAAAGAGAAACAAAAUUGUUUCUGCCUGUGUAUUUUGAGUUCUCCAGACUUGUCAAACACAGUAAUAAUUUAUAUGGGAAGGGAUCGAUGUGUGUCACCUGGCAGUAGCAUCGUCAAAGCUGGCUUUGAACAUGUCUUUUUUUUUUUCUUUGAAUGAAUGAUGUGUGUGCAGUGAAUAAAGAUCCUCGCAAAAUAUA